ACGCACGCUGGCGGCGUGCUUAACACAUGCAAGUCGAACGGAAAGGCCCUGCUUUUGUGGGGUGCUCGAGUGGCGAACGGGUGAGUAACACGUGAGUAACCUGCCCUUGACUUUGGGAUAACUUCAGGAAACUGGGGCUAAUACCGGAUAGGAGCUCCUGCUGCAUGGUGGGGGUUGGAAAGUUUCGGCGGUUGGGGAUGGACUCGCGGCUUAUCAGCUUGUUGGUGGGGUAGUGGCUUACCAAGGCUUUGACGGGUAGCCGGCCUGAGAGGGUGACCGGCCACAUUGGGACUGAGAUACGGCCCAGACUCCUACGGGAGGCAGCAGUGGGGAAUAUUGCACAAUGGGCGGAAGCCUGAUGCAGCAAUGCCGCGUGCGGGAUGACGGCCUUCGGGUUGUAAACCGCUUUCGCCUGUGACGAAGCGUGAGUGACGGUAAUGGGUAAAGAAGCACCGGCUAACUACGUG
rnacentral:rRNA from 1 species